GUACACGCUGUGACUAGCAUAUCAAUAAGCGGAGGAAAAGAAACUAACAAGGAUUCCCCUAGUAACGGCGAGUGAAGCGGGAAGAGCUCAAAUUUGAAAUCUUAAAGGGUUUCCCUUUACGAAUUGUAGUUUAAAGAAGUGUUUUCUGUUGAGGUUUUGGUAAAAGUUCUUUGGAAUAGGACAUCAUAGAGGGUGAGAAUCCCGUAUUUGACCUUUACUUUCAACUUUGUGAUACACUCUCAAAGAGUCGGAUUGUUUGGGAAUGCAGUCCAAAAUGGGUGGUAAAUUUCAUCUAAAGCUAAAUAUUGGCGAGAGACCGAUAGCGAACAAGUACCGUGAGGGAAAGAUGAAAAGAACUUUGAAAAGAGAGUUAAACAGUACGUGAAAUUGUCAAAAGGGAAGCGUUUGACACCAGUGUUGUUUUUCUGAAAAUCAAUUAAAGAACUGUUUAUGCUAAGCUGUUUAGGACUUUAUCAGCUAUCUGUUUAGUUUUGAGCUUUUCUUUAAUGCACUUUUCAGUUAACAAGUCAACAUCAAUUUCUUUUGCUGUAAAAAAGCUUGAGGAAGGUGGCUUGAGAUUCGUCUUAAGUGUUUAUAGCCUCUUGCCUAUGCAGUCGGAGAGAUUGAGGUCUGCAGCGUAGAUCCUUCGGGGCUAAAUGCAUUUGUGCUAAGUUAUAGCAUUUUAUAGACAACUUGUUGACUAUGAUUUGUCUUGUAGCUUACUCGCUUAUGUUAUUUUACCUACGCUUAGGAUGUUGAAGAUGUAGCACAUCAU
rnacentral:rRNA from 1 species